rnacentral:rRNA from 1 species
ACUCCUGCGGGAGGCAGCAGUGGGGAAUUUUGGACAAUGGGCGAAAGCCUGAUCCAGCCAUGCCGCGUGCAGGAUGAAGGCCUUCGGGUUGUAAACUGCUUUUGUACGGAACGAAACGGCCUUUUCUAAUAAAGAGGGCUAAUGACGGUACCGUAAGAAUAAGCACCGGCUAACUACGUGCCAGCAGCCGCGGUAAUACGUAGGGUGCAAGCGUUAAUCGGAAUUACUGGGCGUAAAGCGUGCGCAGGCGGUUAUGUAAGACAGUUGUGAAAUCCCCGGGCUCAACCUGGGAACUGCAUCUGUGACUGCAUAGCUAGAGUACGGUAGAGGGGGAUGGAAUUCCGCGUGUAGCAGUGAAAUGCGUAGAUAUGCGGAGGAACACCGAUGGCGAAGGCAAUCCCCUGGACCUGUACUGACGCUCAUGCACGAAAGCGUGGGGAGCAAACAGGAUUAGAAACCCGGGUAGUCCCAUGA